rnacentral:lncRNA from 1 species
CCAUUUAAAAUUUUAGUUCCUACGACAUUUAUAUAGAUUUAUUUAUAUAGGAAGUAUUAUUGUACGAGCCUUUGUCUUGGGCCUUUGAAGCUAUCGGAACAGACAGAUUUGUGUAAAGAAGAAAAGGGGAAAAUUUGAGCAAGACCUGCAAGUAUUAGGGACAGUCAGAGCCAGCUUUUUGGAAAAGAUGGCCUAAUGCUGAGUGAAUGGUAAGAAAAGAGUUUGUAUCAGCAGGGAAAAAGGAAUGGAAAUAAGGAGGAUUUAGAGAAGGAAAUCCAAUUGGUAAGCUAAAACCACUGACUUACAUUUAAACUUGUGGCCAGUUAUAAGGAUAUACUAAGAAGAAAGACUGAGAAAAGUGAAGAUAAAUGCCAUUAUAAAGUAAAGCAAGGUUGUGCUUGCAAGUGGAAAAAUAUUUAUUUGCAAUUCCCAGCAAAAGAUCAACUGAAAGCUUUAAGAGGUUUAUGACGUGUUUGAAAUGGAAUCUAUAUACAUAUGUGUCAUUCCAGUGUCUAGUGGCUACUGUGACAUGAGGGUGGAGAGAUCCAAACAGUAACCACAGCUUUGACUCACAGGACACGCUGAGGGUGAAAAUCCACAUUACAUAUAGCUGCAAGCAAAGUUACAAAAACGUAAUAUUUACUACAUCAAAUAUAGAACAUAGAAGCUAUUUGUGCAGCACUGCAGCAGCUCAGGCUGUUUCUGGAACAUCACUCAAAUGGUACCAGCACAUUUUGCUUACAAUUCUGUGGUUUUCCAGGCUUCCUGCCUGUAACACUCAAUAAAGAAAGAACUGUUAUAGUGACAGAAUAAAAGUAAUGUCA